rnacentral:misc_RNA from 1 species
AGAGUUAAACAGUACGUGAAAUUGCUGAAAGGGAAGCGAUUGAAACCAGUCGUGUCGCGUCGGAAAUCAGUCUACGGCCGAGCUUGCGGCGAGAAAGGGCGUGUGAAAAUCCAAAAAGCUCGCUCCCUCGUUGCUUGCGAGUGUCCACGUGGGUGCACUUUCCGACCGGCAGGCCAGAAUCAGUUUUUGAUGCGGGAAAAAGGCUCUUGGAAGGUGGCCUCCUCGGAGGUGUUAUAGACUUGGGCUUCCAUACCGCGUCGGGGACUGAGGUUCGCAGCUCAUGCCCUUCUUCGGUGGGGCGAACACACCUGGCGUCUGAUCGGGGCCGUGUGGCUGUCAGCUUGCUGACUGUCGCCCGGUCCAUUCCCUUUCACUGCGCUAGAGUCGUGAUUCCCUUGGGCUUGGGAUUCUGGCUUAAUGGUUUCAAACGACC